UGCAUAUCAAUAAGCGGAGGAAAAGAAACUAACAAGGAUUCCCCUAGUAGCGGCGAGCGAAGCGGGAAGAGCUCAAAUUUAUAAUCUGGCACCUUCGGUGUCCGAGUUGUAAUCUCUAGAAAUGUUUUCCGCGUUGGACCGCACACAAGUCUGUUGGAAUACAGCGGCAUAGUGGUGAGACCCCCGUAUAUGGUGCGGACGCCCAGCGCUUUGUGAUACAUUUUCGAAGAGUCGAGUUGUUUGGGAAUGCAGCUCAAAUUGGGUGGUAAAUUCCAUCUAAAGCUAAAUAUUGGCGAGAGACCGAUAGCGAACAAGUACCGUGAGGGAAAGAUGAAAAGCACUUUGGAAAGAGAGUUAACAGUACGUGAAAUUGUUGGAAGGGAAACGCUUGAAGUCAGACUUGCUUGCCGAGCAAUCGGUUUGCAGGCCAGCAUCAGUUUUCCGGGAUGGAUAAUGGUAGAGAGAAGGUAGCAGUUUCGGCUGUGUUAUAGCUCUCUGCUGGAUACAUCUUGGGGGACUGAGGAACGCAGUGUGCCUUUUGGCGGGGGUUUCGACCU
rnacentral:rRNA from 1 species